rnacentral:rRNA from 1 species
UACAGAGGUCUCAAGCGUUGUUCGGAAUCACUGGGCGUACAGGGUGCGUAGGCCGCCCGGUAAGUCAGAGGUGAAAUCCCGGAGCUCAACUUCGGAAUUGCCUCCGAUACUGCCGUGCUUGAGGACUGGAGAGGAGAUUGGAAUUCACAGUGGAGCAGUGAAAUGCGUAGAUAUUGUGAGGAACACGAGUGGCGAAGGCGAAUCUCUGGACAGUUCCUGACGCUGAGGCACGAAGGCCAGGGGAGCAAACGGG